UCAAAUAGAGGUUAAAACGGGUAAUAAUUGGAACGAUACAAACAAGAUUAGCAUGGCCCCUGUGGAAGAAUGACACACACCAAUCAAUAAAUGGUUCAACUUUUU